UGACAUUCGAGCACUUGCACCUCUUCCCUGAAGGGCUUUGGUGUCUGCAUGAAGGUUUAUUUCCCACCAAGGACUAGGUGUGGAAGGUCAAAGUAAGGAGGUCAUCACUGCCGUGACUGUGCCAAUAGGAGCUGAAGUGACACAAUGGUGGUCGCCUCAGGUCAGCAGCACUGGGAAGUGAGCAUCGCAGCCAGACCCACCUGCAGAGCCCUGGGCCAGCUGCCUGACAUCUUGAGUGGCCCAGAAUUGAGACCCAGUAAAAGCACAUGAGUCUGCUCUCACUAUCAAGUGAGGCCCACACUGAGCUCAAAAUGGUGCUCCUAGGAGACCCUUCCACACAUUCUGCUCAACUCAGACAUCCUGGGGUCUUUUUGGAAUAAGUCACUCCCAAGAAGGCCCUGCAAAUUACUCUCAGUCCUCAAAUUUCAUGCUCCUGAUGCGUGUUAGCUCUUUUCCAAGCCAAGGGCAGCCCUGACCCAUGGAACCCCUAUACCUCCUUUUCUUUCAUCUAAGAGUCUACUCUGAGCUCCUGGUUUUGUGUUACGAUGGGGAAAUCUCCAUCUCUAAUGUACUUUCCAGUAAGAAUUCUGGAGGGACAGGAAGCCAAGAGGGUGAAUGUGACAGAUAGAAUUCUAAGGAUAAUCUCCAUGACUCUCCCCAGAAUAAUGUCCUUCCCUUUAUAUGACACAGGGAGGUGGUCUGGAUGUGCCCCACCUGAUCACAGAGCCCUGUAAAAGCCAAGAGGUGUAAAGCAUGAGAAGGACUCUGAAUGUUCUUGGUGGCUUGAAGAGGGAGGGGCACAUGAGAAGGAGCUGAGAAGGGCCCGGGCCCCUGGCUGACAGUCACCAAUGCUUUAGUGCUAGAAAGUCCCUAGCCAUGACCAGAAAUUGUCAUGUGGGUGCUCUGCAGUUCUGAGGUUGACACCUGCAAAUGUGGUGCCACCAGGUCCUUUGUCUCCGUCUCUGUCCUGAUGCCCUCAGACCUCAGCCAGGCCAAGGAUGCUGUUUGCUUUGCCUCUGCCUUCCUUCAGCCGGGGGAUCUUGGCCUGGAAGUCACUCUGAUGAAUGUGUGGAAUUCAGCUCUAAGUCUCUCCUGCAUCCUCUGUCACCUCCCAAGAAGCAUGAUGAGGCACAGCCACCCCACACCUUCAUGGGUGGCACCUUGGCU
rnacentral:lncRNA from 1 species